rnacentral:sRNA from 1 species
UCUGGAGUUGAAGGGGAGCCCUGGAAGGCUCUCGCGGGAAGAGCACUGGGUGGGAUUUGCCUUUGGGUGGGAGGUGGUGCCAGGAGCCAGGGAGAGCAUUGGCUUCCCCCACCAAAGGGGAACUUCCGCAAACACCUGCGCAUGGUCGGCAGCCGGAGGGUGAAGGCCCAGACGUUCGCUGAGCGGCGCGAGCGGAGCUUCAGCCGGUCCUGGAGCGACCCCACCCCCAUGAAAGCCGACACUUCCCACGACUCCCGAGACAGUAGGUGCCCCGCACAGGCCCGCCCACCUUCCCCAGAGCCUCCCCUAGACCCCAGACCCCUGCUGGGGGUCCCCUGCCAGGGCCGCUGGGCUGCGCUUUUGCACUCUGAGCCUUGGUUUACCUGUUUGUGAGAUGGGGACGCUUUCAGCAUCUCCGAUCUCAAAGGUGGGGCUAACUUAACGGCUGCGGCAGUGCUGGCCGGGGGCGUCUGUAGGGCCGUGCCCACCGCCACUGAUAAGAGGCCCUGAGGGGCAGGGGGCUGCGGUGCCCGCCACCACUUCCUCCCAGGCGCCGGACGGACUUGGCUGGAGCUGAUGCCUGCACGCGCCUUCCACCAGCCUCGCACCAGGGUCUCCCUCCCCACAUCAGGCCGCUGCCCAGUGGUGGGUGUCCACAGGCCUGUCCUGCUGGGCUGGCGGCGACCUCUGCAUGGUCCUCCCACUUGCUUGGAGGACCCUCCGGGACCGGGCUUUCGGGCCCUGUGGGCCUUGGGGCCAUGGCCAGGUUAGGAGGUGCUGCUGGGCCUGCUGUCCUGGUGACCCACUUGCUUCCCAGGCAGUGACCUGCAGAGCUCCCACUGCACGCUGGACGAGGCCUUCGAGGACCUGGACUGGGACACUGAGAAGGGCCUGGAGGCUGUGGCCUGCGACACCGAGGGCUUCGUGCCACCAAAGGUCAUGGUGAGGCCCAGCCCAGGCAGUGUUCCUCUGCACCCCGAACAGGACUCCACCCCAACCCAGGAGUCCAGCCAGCUCUGCCUGGGACCACGCAGCCUUCUCCAGCUGCCUGGGGGAGGGUGUCUCACAGGGCUGCACCCUUGGGCUGCCUGGCAGCCAGCCAGAAGGUAGCCUCAUGGGAGCUCCCACAGCCCCUCGGCUUUUGGAUGGGCCUGGGGCCCCUGAGCAGCUCUUUGUCUCUGCAGCUCAUUUCCUCCAAGGUGCCCAAGGCUGAGUACAUCCCCACCAUCAUCCGCCGGGAUGACCCCUCCAUCAUCCCCAUCCUCUACGACCAUGAGCACGCAACCUUCGAGGACAUCCUUGAGGAGAUAGAGAGGAAGCUGAACGUCUAUCACAAGGGAGCCAAGAUCUGGAAGAUGCUGAUUUUCUGUCAGGGAGGUCCUGGACACCUCUAUCUGCUCAAGAACAAGGUGGCCACCUUUGCCAAAGUGGAGAAGGAAGAGGACAUGAUUCACUUCUGGAAGCGGCUGAGCCGCCUGAUGAGCAAAGUGAACCCAGAGCCAAACGUCAUCCACAUCAUGGGCUGCUACAUUCUGGGGAACCCCAAUGGGGAGAAGCUGUUCCAGAACCUCAGGACCCUCAUGACUCCUUAUAGGGUCACCUUCGAGUCACCCCUGGAGCUCUCAGCCCAAGGGAAGCAGAUGAUCGAGACGUACUUUGACUUCCGGUUGUAUCGCCUGUGGAAGAGCCGCCAGCACUCGAAGCUGCUGGACUUUGACGACGUCCUGUGAGGGGCAGAGGCCUCCGCCCAGUCACCUUCAGGCCGCUCCCUCUGCACCGGGACCUGGGGCUGGGCCGCCUCGUGCUCCCCGGGACUGUGCGGCUCUGGUCUUGCCUGGAGCCACUUCAGGGCACCUCAGACGUUGCUCAGGUUCCCCCCAUGGGUUCCGGUCCUCGCUGCACCCAUGGCCACAGAGGCUGCAGUCCCUGGGGGCCGGGAGGAUCCCGCCCCGUGGCCCGUGGAUGCUCAGCGGCCAGGCACUGACCUGCCAUGCCUCGCCUGGAGGCUCGGCUGUGGGCAUCCCUCCAUGGGGUUCAUAGAAAUAAGUGCAAUUUCUACACCCCUGAAACAAUUCAAAGGGAAGCAGCAUUUCUUGUUAACUAGUUAAGCACUAUGCUGCUAGUUACAGCGUAGGCACCCCAGCCCAGCAGCCCAGCAGCCCACAUGUGUUCAGGACCCUCCCUGCCUACCCCUCCCUGCCGUAUCGAUCACCAGCACCAGGAUGGCCCGUGUGCGUGGGGCCAGCGUCGCCGGGCUGCCCAGCCUGGCUCUGUCUAUACUGGCCGAGUCUCUGGCUCUGUCUACACUGGCCGAGUCUCUGGCUCUGUCUACACUGGUCUGUGCUUUCACUUACACUCCUCUUGCCACCCCCCAUCCCUGCUUACUUGGACCUCAGCCGGCGCUGGACCCGGCAGGGGCAGUCUGGGCAGCAGGAAGGAAGUGCACAGCGUCCCCUCCUUCAGAGGAGGCUCUGGGUGGGGCCUGCUCCCCAUCCCCCCAAGCCCACCCAGCACUCUCAUUGCUGCUGUUGAGUUCAGCUUUUAUCAGCCUCAAUCUGGAGGCUCCUUCCCAGUACAGAGGCCUGGGGCUUGGCAGGGGCCCAGCUGGGGCUGCGCCCUGGGUUUCGAGAAACUCGCUGGCACCACAGUGGGCCCCUGGACCCGGCCGCGCAGCUGGUGGACUGUAGGGGCUCCUGAUUCGGCACAGGAGCUCCCAGCUUUUGUCCACGGCCAGCAGGAUGGGCUCUUGUGUAUAUAGCUGGGGCUAGGGGGCAGGCCCCCCUUGUGCAGAGCCAGGGGUCUGAGGGCACCUGGCUGUGUUCCCGGCUGAGGGAGGGCUGGGGCGGGGGCCAGGCUCGGAAGGAUGUACGAUACCCUCAUAGUGACCAUUAAACCUGAUCCUCCACCGCA